rnacentral:rRNA from 1 species
GAUGAACGCUGGCGGCGUGCCUAAUACAUGCAAGUCGAACGAAACUUCAUUAACAGCGAGCGCUUGCACUCACCGAUAAAGAGAUGAGUGGCGAACAGGUGAGAAACAAGUGGGCAACGUGGCCAAAAGAGGGGGAAAAUACUCGGAAACAGGAGAUAAUACACGAUAAAAAUAAUUAGAGCAUGGGAACUAUGGAAAAGGAGGGAAUAGUACCGCGAUUAGAUAGGCCGGGGGCGCAUUAGCUAGUUGGUAGGGUAAAGGCAUACCAAGGCAAUGAUGCGUAGCCGGAUUGAGAGGUUGAUCGGCCACAUUGGAACUGAGACACGGCCCAAACUCCUACGGGAGGCAGCAGUAGGGAAUCUUCCACAAUGGGCGAAAGCCUGAUGCAGCAACGCCGCGUGGGUGAAGAAGGUCUUCGGAUCGUAAAGCCCUGUUGUUAGGGAAGAAAAUCCGUGGGUGUAUCUGUUCACGUUUCGACGGUAUCUAACCAGAAAGCCACGGCUAACUACGUG